rnacentral:lncRNA from 1 species
UACAAAUCCUCACAGAUGGCAUGAAUCAUUGUUUAAGAAAUGUUCUACACAUGCCUGAGUAGCAAAGAGCAGUAGGUGGCUUGAACAAGCAGAGCUCAGCACAUCACAGGCAUGUCAAAUGCUGUUCACACCACCAUGUAGUAUCAUGGUGUUCAAAUCUGAAGCAGGUUAACUUUUGGCUUAUCAAGAUAAUGCAUCAUAUUAAAUUAAUACCAAUGGCUUUGUUACUGGGUUUAUACAAUGCUUUAUUUUUGUUACAUUGUUUCUAUAGCUUCUCAAGUCCUCUGAGUUAAGAUGUUCAUACCUAGUUUCCCUUAAAAUGAGUUUUUAAAUUUUUAGGUAGCUUACAAAAUAAUAGAGUUCAUUAUGUUAUUUUCACACAUCUGCCACAUUGAGCACACUUAACCUCAUAUUUUCCCCCUCUUGAAAGUUCUCUAUCCCUCUUCAAGUACUUCAUUCUUCUUUCAUGCCAAUUUUAUUAAUAUUUUAAUAUCUCUUGCUUCCUUAAUAUCUCUUGCUUCUCUUUCAUGGGACACAAAUUAACAUCUAGAAUAUAUAAAGAAUUAUCAAAAUUGAAAAAGAUAGCAGAUAAGAAAGUGGAAUAAUUAAUUGAAAAGAUAGUUCUCAAAAUGAAGAAAUAAAGAACAAACAAAUAUUUCCAAAAAUGUUUUCUAUCUUUAGUCAUCAGGAAAAUUCUAAUUAUAUCAGUUUUUCUUCAUUAUUGUGAUAAAAUACAAAGCAAAGAAUAAGGGGAAAAGGAUUAAUUUUGGAUAAUACUUUGGCAAGGACAGUGUGAGAAUGAUGAAUACCUUCAUUGGGAAGCAGAGAUGAAUGCUUUUGCUCUGAUCACGUUGUAACUCUCAUUCCCCUUAAGACUCUAUGAGAUGUGGUUAUCCCCAAUCAGUGUGAGUCUUCCCUACUCAGAUAAACCUUUCUGGAGCCUUCCUAUUGUCAUACUAUGUAUUUCCAUGGUGAUUCUAAAUUCAGUCAAGUCGACAAUGAAGAUUUAUCAUCACACCUUUAUUCCUUUGUUAACCCAAACCCAUCAUUUUAAAACAAAACAUUCUACCUGCAGUCCAUGAAGACAUAUUCUCAUCUCACAGUGCAAAAUGUUUCAUAAACUUCAUAAACAUGGGUUCUAUAAGACUCCAAAGUUGUAACAAUAUUAACACUGUUCAAAAGUUUAAGUGUAGUGUAUACAAUGAGAUUCAGGCAAACUCUUAACUUAUUAAAAAAAACAUAUAUAUGUAAGAAACAGAGUUCCAAUAGUCAAUGGCCAAGAGUAAGCAUUCUAAUUGCAAAAUAAUUGAAUGAAUAAUAUAUAAUAUUUUAUAUAUAUAUGUAUAUAUAUAUAUUAGAUUAAAAAAAGACCAAUACUCAACAAAGCAAAUGCCAAGUCCUACAGCUCCACAUCUGGCUUAUAUGACAACAUCUGAAGUUCAUGAUGAAAUCAUCUGGGUUCCAAAGGCCUUGGAUAGUCCCAGCCCUCCAUCUCUGCAGUUUGAACCCUCUAUGUUGGGCCAAAUACACUUCAUUACUGCAGAUUAUCACAAUCCUGGCAUACCCAAAACCCUUGGAGAAUUAACUUUGUCUUUACCUUCCUAACUUAGUGCAAUAGCCUCUCAGGGCACCAUUGAAAGGAACUUGACCCUACUACAAUUCUAUGGUCUCUGGCUUUCUAGAAGUGGGGAGCAAACCUCUAUCAACUCUCACUUGGGCAUAUUUAAUGCUUGCACAACCAGUCCUUCCCGGACAACACCUUAGCUGCUGGCUGCAUGUAACCUAGUCCUGUUCUAUCAAUACCAUAGUGGUCUCUGUGUACUGCAGUUGCUGAAUUUGAAGAAAUAUUCUCUAGGGGGAAAACCCACUUUCUUAGUUAUUUUCAAGCAUGGAAACUCUUAAGAGACAUUUUCAAGGCAGAGCCUCUCCUUUAAGUGUACUUAUUUGGAGCCCUUGUUAGGUGAAGCCUUCAUCAAGACAGCUUUCCUAUAAUCCCAGAACUGAAGAUGGUCAUCUUCAGAGAUGGUAAGUUCUUUAUCAAUUACACCAUUUUCUUUCCCCCAGCCUUUUGUGCAAUUUUAAGUCAAUCACAUUCUUUUAUUUAUCAAGCCGUAAUUUUUAUAUUUUUCCUUCCAUCUCUGACCUGUGGGUGGGUGGGGUUCUCUCUGAGGCAAGGGCAUAGUGAAGAACCCUGGGAGGGUGGACUGGGAAGGGGGAGCAACAUUGGAAUAUAAAUAAAUAAAACAAUUCAAAUUUUUAUUUACCAAACAGUUUUUAUUUUUAUGCUCAACUUGAUGGGUUUCUCUCACUGUAGACCAGAGUAUGAACAGUGAAGAGUAACCAUUCUACAGCCUGAAUGCUAUCCUGUCUUGAAAUUUCUUCCAACAAAUUAGUUCAUAGUUUUUAAAUUCAUCACAGAAUAGGAUGAAACCAGACACAGUCCUAGAAUAUGACAGGACUAGUGUUUUGCCCAGGUCCAUAUGGUUCUUCUCCCUCUGAAACCUCAUGAUCUCUACUGCUAACAUCUAUUUGUGCACAAGUAUUCUCCAAAUCUCUUACCAGAAUGGCCAACUACUCUCUGCCUCCAGCAUUGUAGGGCUUCUUCUUUUUUAUUUUUCUAUUAUUUAUUUAUUUAUUUAUUUAUUUAUUUAUUUAUUUAUUGGCCUUCUGUAUUUUCCCUGCAAACAGUUCCAAAGGCCUAAGAAGCAUACUGUCAGAAUUAUUGAAAACGCAUCGGUACUGACUUCCUCACUGUUGUCUUGCUCUGUGGCAAAAUACCCGACAAGAGCAACUUGAGGAAGAGUUCGUUUUUCCUGAAAUUUUGAGGGUACCGGAAUGGGCGACAGCUGGUCUCAGUGUUCCUACUGAUGGGGAGUAGAAAGAGUAAUGCUUGUAAUCAGCCUAUUUAUAUUUUUACUCAGUUCAGGACCUCAGCUUCACGGGAUGUUGAGCCCUACAUUUAGGGUAGGUCUUUCCUCUCCAAUUGAACACUUCUGGAAUAACCCCCACUCAGAGGUGCAUUUCUGUGGUAAUUCUAAAGUAAUCAAUUAAACAAUGAAAAACAACUGCCACAAUAUUCAACUCCUAGUUUUGUAUUUAUGAAUAAAUGAGAGUAUAGUAAAAGUAUUAAAAGCUAGCCUCCGGUGCAUGCAUUCCAUAUUGUUUAAAACGAUAUAUUGAGAGAGGAAAUGAGUUUAUAUUACUAAAUAGAAUGACAAGUUUUGAAAUCAUUUGUAGUUUGUUAUAUUAAGAAUUCUUAAAAUAUAAAAGAAAACAUUUUAAAUCCCUUGAGAAAACUUUGAAUGUUUUUCUACUUCUAUUGUUACAAUUAAUUUUUCCUCUGCUGUCAAAUGGCUAAAGUUUGAAUUAUUUAAACAUUACUAGGUAUCUUGCUUAUCUAAUGACUGAGAGAUAUGUAGAAAUCCCUUAUGACAUUGAUCAAAAUUGUAAAUAUCUCCCUUUAUAGAAAUAUUCGCUUGUACUGCUUUCUUUGUUUCUGCUGAAAUUGGAAUAUGAAGCUUUGAUAUGAAAAAAUAUGUAGCAUUGCUUAAUCUGAACAAAAAAGAUUCUUUUCAAAUUUUAGUAAAAUUAUUUAAUCGUG